rnacentral:rRNA from 1 species
AUUGAACGCUGGCGGCAUGCUUUACACAUGCAAGUCGAACGAGUGGCGCACGGGUGAGUAACGCAUCGGAACGUACCGAGUAGUGGGGGAUAACUGUCCGAAGGGACAGCUAAUACCGCAUAUUAUUCGAGCGGCCGAUGUGGGAUUAGCUGGUGGGAGGGGUAAAGGCACACCAAGGCGACGAUCCGUAGCGGGUCUGAGAGGAUGAUCCGCCACACUGGGACUGAGACACGGCCCAGACUCCUACGGGAGGCAGCAGUGGGGAAUUUUGGACAAUGGGCGCAAGCCUGAUCCAGCCAUGCCGCGUGUAUGAAGAAGGCCUUCGGGUUGUAAAGUACUUUCGGUAGGGAAGCGGUACCUGAAGAAGAAGCACCGGCUAACUCCGUGCCAGCAGCCGCGGUAAUAC